AGCGGAGGAAAAGAAACCAACCGGGAUUGCCUUAGUAACGGCGAGUGAAGCGGCAAAAGCUCAAAUUUGAAAUCUGGCACCUUCGGUGUCCGAGUUGUAAUUUGAAGAAGUAACUUUGGGGCUGGUCCUUGUCUAUGUUCCUUGGAACAGGACGUCAUAGAGGGUGAGAAUCCCGUGUGGCGAGGAUCCCAGUUCUUUGUAAAGUGCUUUCGACGAGUCGAGUUGUUUGGGAAUGCAGCUCUAAGUGGGUGGUAAAUUCCAUCUAAAGCUAAAUAUUGGCGAGAGACCGAUAGCGAACAAGUACAGUGAUGGAAAGAUGAAAAGAACUUUGAAAAGAGAGUGAAAAAGUACGUGAAAUUGUUGAAAGGGAAGGGCAUUUGAUCAGACAUGGUGUUUUGCGACCCUCGCUCCUUGUGGGUGGGGAUCUCGCAGCUCACUGGGCCAACAUCGGUUUUGGCGGCAGGAUAAAACUUUGGGAAUGUAACUUGUCUUCGGAGAAGUAUUAUAGCCCAAGGCAAUACUGCCAGCCGGGACCGAGGACUGCGACUUUUGUCAAGGAUGUUGGCAUAAUGGUUAUAUGCCGCCCGUC
rnacentral:rRNA from 1 species